GACGAACGCUGGCGGCGUGCCUAAUACAUGCAAGUAGAACGCUGAAGGAGGAGCUUGCUUCUCUGGAUGAGUUGCGAACGGGUGAGUAACGCGUAGGUAACCUGCCUGGUAGCGGGGGAUAACUAUUGGAAACGAUAGCUAAUACCGCAUAAUAGUAGAUGUUGCAUGACAUUUGCUUAAAAGGUGCAAUUGCAUCACUACCAGAUGGACCUGCGUUGUAUUAGCUAGUUGGUGAGGUAACGGCUCACCAAGGCAACGAGACAUAGCCGACCUGAGAGGGUGAUCGGCCACACUGGGACUGAGACCCGGCCCAGACUCCUACGGGAGGAAGCAGUAGGGAAUCUUCGGCAAUGGACGGAAGUCUGACCGAGCAACGCCGCGGGAGUGAAGAAGGUUCUCGGAUCGUAAAGCUCUGUUGUAAGAGAAGAACGAGUGUGAGAGUGGAAAGUUCACACUGUGACGGUAUCUGAACAGAAAGGGACGGCUAACUACGUG
rnacentral:rRNA from 1 species